rnacentral:rRNA from 1 species
UACGGGGGGGGCAAGCGUUGUUCGGAAUUACUGGGCGUAAAGCGUGCGCAGGCGGUUUUGUAAGCCAGAUGUGACAUCCCCGGGCUUAACCUGGGAAUGGCAUUUGGGACUGCAAGGCUGGAGUGCGGCAGAGGAGACUGGAAUUCCUGGUGUAGCAGUGAAAUGCGUAGAUAUCAGGAGGAAUACCGAUGGCGAAGGCAGGUCUCUGGGCUGACACUGACGCUCAUGCACGAAAGCGUGGGGAGCAAACAGG